ensembl:lincRNA
GGCUGCCUGGGUCCCUAGGGCGCGCGCCCUCGGCCUGCCCGGCCCGGGCCCUCCCGCCGGCUCCACCUGCGCGCUGGGUCUCGGGAUGUGCCCGUCCGAGAUGGGGACGCUGUGGCACGUGUGGUCUCCCGUGCUCAUCGGCCUGGCCGCCCUUUCCUCCGAAGUGACCGAGAGCCGGGGCAUCCUUGAGAGCAUCCAGAGGUUCUCCCUGCUGCCCACCUACCUGCCGGUCACCUACCACAUCAACAACGCCGACGUGUCCUUCUUCCUGAAGGAGGCCAACCAGGACAUCAUGCGCAACUCCAGCCUGCAGUCCAGGGUCGAGUCCUUCCUCAUCUACAAAUCCAAGCAGCUGCCGGCGCUCAACGCCAGCUAUGGGCCCUUCUCCAUCGAGCAAGUGGUGCCCCAGGACCUGCUGCUGCCCGCCAACCCCUUCGGCUUCACCAACACGUUUUCCCUGAACUGGAAGCUGAAGGCCUCCAUCCUGCGGGAGAAGAUCUACCCCAGCCGUCCCAAGGUGCAGGUCCUCUUCCACCUGGUAGGCCGGGACUGGGACGACGCGCGGCCUGCGGAGAGGCUGCCCUGCCUGCGCGUCUUCGCCUUCCGGGAGACCCGGGAGGUGCGGGGCAGCUGCCGGCUCGCCGGGGACCUGGGCCUGUGCGUGGCGGAGCUGGAGGUCCCGGCCGCGUGGUUCAGUGCCCCGACGGUGGUUGCCGGGAGGAGGAAGGCCGCGGAGCAGCCCGAGGGCAGCCCGGUGGAGCUGUACUACUCCAUGCAGCCGGGGGACGCGCGUUGGGACUGCGCCCAGGAGGACCGGUGGAGGACCGACGGCAUUCGGACAGGUCACAAUGACAUCGAUGAGUCUGGGCCGCCCUUGCACAGAAUCGGGAGUGUCUUCCUCUACCAGACCCACGGCAGCCCCACCCUGAAGGAGCUGCGACUGGACAGCAAUGUCGCCGUGCACUACGUCCCCAAGACGGCUCGACAGGGCGACGUGCUCACCUUCCCCAUCUUGGUCUCGAGAAACUGUACAGAGGACCGUUUUACGCUGAGGGCCAAGGUGAAGAAAGGCGUGAGCAUUGCCGGGGUGAGGGCCAGCAGCCCCUCCAUCUGGGACGUCAAGGAGAGCUCGGAGUCCGCCGGGAAGUACGCACCCGCUGUCAUAGUGUGUCACAAGAAAUCUGCUGCCUCGGCAAACGGUGCAGACAGCAGCUCCGAGGAAGUCAUGCAGGUCGAUGUGGAGGUCGAAGAUCCCAGCGACCCUCCAGCCACACAGCUCGUCACGUGGCAGGUGGAGUAUCCCGGAGACAUCACCUCUGACCUGGGCGUGUCCGAGAUCUACGUCCGUCAGAAGGACUUGGUUGGAGUGAUCCCACUGGCCAUGGAGGCGGAGAUCCUGAACACGGCCAUCCUCACGGGGAAGACGGUGGCCGUGCCGGUGAAGGUGGUCUCGGUGGAGGAGGACGGCGCGGUGACCGGGCUGCUGGAGUCCGUGGAGUGCAGGUCGUCUGACGAAGACGUGGUUAAGGCAAGUUGGUGCCUGCAGGAGCCCGCGCUCGCUCCACAUUGGUGUCCACGUGCGCCGAGAGCCAUGGGUCACCUGCGUCCCUCCCCGCCCGGCCUGGUGAAAUUGGAGACCGCAGGGCAAGGCCUGCGCCUAAUCCUCUGGUGUCUUGCCAGCCCCUGGCGGUGACCGCAGGACAGGGGCAGGGACUCACACCCCG